rnacentral:rRNA from 1 species
AACGGGAUUUAGUAGACAGAAACCUCGGUGGAAGAUUACUAACGAGAGUGGCGAACGGGUGAGUAACGCGUGAGCAACCUGCCUAUGACAGUGGGAUAGCCUCGGGAAACCGGGAUUAAUACCGCAUAAAAUCGUAGAAACACAUGUUUUAACGGUCAAAGAUUUAUCGGUCAUAGAUGGGCUCGCGUCUGAUUAGCUAGUUGGUGAGAUAACAGCCCACCAAGGCGACGAUCAGUAGCCGGUCUGAGAGGAUGAACGGCCACAUUGGAACUGAGACACGGUCCAAACUCCUACGGGAGGCAGCAGUGGGGAAUAUUGCACAAUGGGGGAAACCCUGAUGCAGCGACGCCGCGUGAACGAAGAAGGUAUUCGUAUCGUAAAGUUCUGUCCUAUGGGAAGAUAAUGACAGUACCAUAGAAGAAAGCUCCGGCUAAAUACGUGCCAGCAGCCGCGGUAAUACGUAUGGAGCGAGCGUUGUCCGGAAUUAUUGGGCGUAAAGGGUACGCAGGCGGUUUAAUAAGUCGAAUGUUAAAGAUCGGGGCUCAACCCCGUAAAGCAUUGGAAACUGAUAAACUUGAGUAGUGGAGAGGAAAGUGGAAUUCCUAGUGUAGUGGUGAAAAUACGUAGAUAUUAGGAGGAAUACCAGUAGCGAAGGCGACUUUCUGGACACAAACUGACGCUGAGGUACGAAAGCGUGGGGAGCAAACAGGAUUAGAUACCCUGGU